UGUGUGAUAGCUCAAAUAGGUAGAGCGUGAGGCUACAGUGCUGAAUGGUUUGUGGGUUCGAUUCCCACCCAUGCCU
rnacentral:tRNA from 3 species